rnacentral:rRNA from 1 species
ACGGAAGGCAGCAGUGGGGAAUAUUGCACAAUGGGGGAAACCCUGAUGCAGCGACGCCGCGUGAGUGAAGAAGUUAUUCGUAAUGUAAAGCUCUAUCAGCAGGGAAGAAAAUGACGGUACCUGACUAAGAAGCCCCGGCUAACUACGUGCCAGCAGCCGCGGUAAUACGUAGGGGGCAAGCGUUAUCCGGAUUUACUGGGUGUAAAGGGAGCGUAGACGGUCUAGCAAGUCUGAUGUGAAAGGCAGGGGCGCAACUCCUGGACUGCAUUGGAAACUGUUAGUCUUGAGUGUCGGAGAGGUAAGCGGAAUUCCUAGUGUAGCGGUGAAAUGCGUAGAUAUUAGGAGGAACACCAGUGGCGAAGGCGGCUUACUGGACGAUAACUGACGUUGAGGCUCGAAAGCGUGGGGAGCAAACAGGAUUAGAUACCCUGGUA